rnacentral:rRNA from 1 species
GAUGAACGCUGGCGGCGUGCCUAAUACAUGCAAGUCGAGCGAACAGACGAGGAGCUUGCUCCUCUGACGUUAGCGGCGGACGGGUGAGUAACACGUGGAUAACCUACCUAUAAGACUGGGAUAAAUUCGGGAAACCGGAGCUAAUACCGGAUAAUAUAUUGAACCGCAUGGUUCAAUAGUGAAAGACGGUUUUGCUGUCACUUAUAGAUGGAUCCGCGCCGCAUUAGCUAGUUGGUAAGGUAACGGCUUACCAAGGCAACGAUGCGUAGCCGACCUGAGAGGGUGAUCGGCCACACUGGAACUGAGACACGGUCCAGACUCCUACGGGAGGCAGCAGUAGGGAAUCUUCCGCAAUGGGCGAAAGCCUGACGGAGCAACGCCGCGUGAGUGAUGAAGGUCUUCGGAUCGUAAAACUCUGUUAUUAGGGAAGAACAAAUGUGUAAGUAACUAUGCACGUCUUGACGGUACCUAAUCAGAAAGCCACGGCUAACUACGU